ACGAUAAAUAUCUUUGUAACGUGCCAGAAGAAGAGCAAAGACAGCUGGAUCAUAUCGGAAAGAGGAAGUUUGAGAGUUCACAAGGUUGAUUCUGUAUGGAACAAAAUUGUGGCUGAAGUUGGAUGAUCUGCGUCGGAUACCACAAAGUUUUCUCCCAGAAGGUAUACAUUCCUCCUCAUUACGUUUGGUUAAAAACUGGCAUGAUGUCAUUGGAAGUGCUGAAAACUUCUGCUUUUGCCACAGUGCAAUCUGUGGCUGCUCUGGGUGUUGCAAAAUGGAGGAAUUAUCUAUUGGCUACCGCCUCUUUAUAUACCUUAUAGAUGCUGGGAAUAUGAGAGCUAAAUGCAUCUCUCUGGAAAGAACAUAACCGGGCAGGUUCCUAACAAGACCCUAAAUCAUUUAAAAAAUAAAUAAUAAACUAAUUAAGCAAGCAAACAAGUUCAUAUACAGUAUUUUGAGAUUCUUUGUUUAUAAAAAUAAGCUAAAUGUUGUAUAGUUUCUAAUUAGGAUAACAAUCCAAAAAAUGGCCAGAAUUAUACAAAUGUCCACAUGUGCAAGCUGAAGAAACUUGGUCAUAUUGCAAGGAGGGCCAAAAAAUGGUGGGAAGAUCCUCAGUCUCUGAUGACAACUAAACCCAUUCGUACUUUGAAUAACUCCCAUUAUAAGAGCGUAGCAGAAAAACAAUACCUACUCCAAGUACUGAUAUGAUCAAGUUUCAUUAUCAAUGAAUUAUGAUUGGGUAAAUGCACUGUAUUAACCAAUGGUUUGUUUAACCAUGAUCUACUGAAUAAACAACAACUGAUUCGGUUUACAUAGCAUGCUAAAUUAAACCCUGAUUUAAUUAGCCUAUGCGACAUUAAAAAACAACACCAAAUAAAAAAUGUUGUCU